rnacentral:rRNA from 1 species
AGAAUCAACGCUGGCGGCGUGCCUCAGACAUGCAAGUCGAACGCGAAAGUCCCCUUCGGGGGGCAAGUAGAGUGGCGCACGGGUGAGUAACACGUAGGUAAUCUACCUUUGGAUGGGGAAUAACAAUCGGAAACGAUUGCUAAUACCGCAUAAUGCAGCGGCACCUAAUGGUGACAGUUGUUAAAGCGGGGGUAUCGAAAGACCGUCGCGUCUGAAGAGGAGCCUGCGGCGGAUUAGCUAGUUGGUAAGGUAAU